rnacentral:lncRNA from 1 species
CUCAUGAUAAACUCUCAUAUGGAAAUGAUGAAUAGUUGCUCUACCAUGGCUAGUUCUUAAAAUUGAAUUCUCUCUGAAGUUUAGGCAUGACCGUUAUGAAGUAAGAUUUGCUCUAAACCUGAACUUGUGGGAAGAGUACUUGAUCUAAAGUCUAAGUUGUUAACGGAUAUGAUAUGGGAAGGUUGAGCUGCUGUUUAUCUGUUCCAAGAGAUGCUAGAAUUCUGGAGAAUUUUAUCUUUGAAAAAUCUUUAAAAUAUCACAUGAUGAGUUCCUCUAUGAUGAGAGUUUAAAAUCCUACCACAGCCAUAUAUACAUGCUUAUUAGACUUUGAGCCACACAUUUACUUUUUAGUGCUUAUGAGCAUUGAGUGUGGUCAAGCUGUGUAGACCCUUAGGAGCUUGUCAUGUGGUGAAAAUCAUGAUUCACUUGCAUGUUCACUCGUAUAUGCUGCUUCUACUCCAGAAGUACGCAUCCACAUACAUCCACUCAUUGCCAUCUCCAGAUUCACCCAAAAUUAUUCUACUCCUAAUCUGGGAGAGAAUAGCCAAAAACAUUUUCCUAUCCCUGUUAUUCCCUGUGAAAUAAAUGCUCUAGAUAUUUUGGUUACUACCACUUGCUACAUUAUUUCAGGAGAUGAGUGUUCUAAAAGAAGAGAAAUAAAAAUAAAGAGAAAAAAAUAUAUACGAAGAAAUAAAAAGGGGCAAGUGCCCGGAACCUCGAAGAAAAGAAAAAGUGAGACGAGAGGUAAAAAUGGACAAGUGUCCGACAGUAGAAUUAGGGGUACAACAUACCCACCUGAGAGGAAAGAAAAAGAAAAUAUAGAGCAUCUCAUUCUCCCCAAAAAGCUUCAAAGUGCAACAAAGGUAUGUAUCCCCUUAAAAGAGCAAAAGUAGAAUUAGACUUUCACCAUUAUUAUCACCAUCAUCACCAUACACCAUUCAUUCGCCACACAUGCACAUCUUGAUUUGACUUAUUGAAUUGUUUCUCUGGAUCCAUGGUUUCACUAUGCAAUAAAUGUCUUGUAAGUAUGUAUUAGCUGUCUCCCACCUAUGACCUCCAGAUAUCAAAACGUUAUUAGAGUAGGGUGAGAGAGAAGGCAAUAUCACUAUGCCUCAUACCACAAAUACUACAUACUUUGAGAGAAGGCAUAUAUCAUCACUGCCUUGGUGAGGAUCCAAAAAUACCACAAAAGAGAGAUUUGAGAGAAUCAUAUAAGGAAUCUCUGAGUUUUAUUUGAAAAUCUGCAAAAACUCCAGAGCUAUAGCUGAUCAAGAAUAAGAGACAUGACGCUUGACUUGACCGUUCUAUCUUUUAACUGCUCAAGACACAAGUGACGGUUACAAGCCCCAUGGUGAAAAGUAAAAUGAGUAAGUUUAUGUCUUAACAGAUUAUUCUAACUCAGAGAUGAGAUCUUGCUUGAACGCAUAUGUACCUUUAAGGCAUGAAACCACUGCAGAAACUCUUGAGUCCAUCCUUGCUCAGGGACGAGCAAGAGGUAAGCUUGGGGGAGUUGUUGACGGUCCUUAAGUACCAAAUAUAAUCAUCAAAUAAAUAAAGAAAAGGAUCCAAAUGCAACCAACACCUAGACUUAGGGUUUUAUCUCACAGAAUUCCACGAGUUUUGGUGUUUGUCUAUUUCUGCAGGGGGUUAUCAGGAAAUACGGAAGAAAGGCUCACAUGUCGGGAUUACAUAGAGAUAUCAACGCACCGCGCAAUUUUCUACCAUCUAGAAGACUCCAGAAGCCACGGGAAGGAAGCGGAGGCCGAACGGGCCCAGAGGCAGGGUGCCCGCCCUCCUUCCUUGGCCGCCUGCCCUGACUUGGAGUCCAAACAGGACUCUCUUCGGGGAUUACUCUCCACCGACCUAAAGGAUCAAGGAUAACCGUCAAAUCAAUGUCGGUUUGAUCCGACGGCCUUGGUUCACUUGAGGGGACUAUAACACCAGACCCCCUGGCCCCUGGAGGAGACAAGUUUUUCAUAGAGUUGAGAGGAGCCCUCGAAGGAAUACCUCUCCUCUAAAUAAAAUUUAUUUUAGGCUUAGCAUCGAAUGUUAGUAGAAUUAGAUCUUCUAGUUUCUACUAGAUUGAGAGAGAUAGAGUGGAGGUGUAGAUCGGAGGAAGGCCGGCCUGUCGGUGUCUACUCCGAGGUUGUACCUGCGGGACCAAGUCUUCUAACCCGAGGCUUGCUCCUAAGAUUCUUCAGUAAUUCGACUUCUAAUUCUAGUAAGAUCUUGUUUUAUUGUUCUUUGGUUUAUGAGUUUACUUUAAUCCUCUUCCGGUUGAGUAUUAGAGUAAUCAUUGCUAGCGUAAACGUGGUGUUUAGGCUAGGGUACUCAUAGAUAUCCCCUGACUAGCUGGACCGUGGUAGUUGCGAGGAACGUGACAUUUCCGAGUUACCUUUGUAUCCCACAUCUCGUUAGCAGGAAGGGUAGGGUUUAUAGGUGCGGGUCGAUCAUCCUUUGUGGUGUCUAGAUUCCGUAAGCUUCCCCAAUAGAACAGUAGAUCAUCCUUACCAAUGUUAGAAUGAGACUACGGUUGCAGUCUUCUCUAUACAUCACUCACAUCGAGAAACAUUCUUUGUAGCCUAAAGGGAUAGUAGCAAUAGAUUUGGUUAGUCAGAUGCACCCUUUCUCCCAGUGGUAAAAAUAUAAAUACAAUACUCUGGAAAACCUCUCAGGUGAAAUGCUGGCCGAUAUCCGUGCGCUUGCAGAUCAUUUCCUUAUUGCGUUACCAAAUAUCAACAAUGACACAUGCCCUCAACUUACCCUCUAAGAUCUGAUUCACCCGCUCAGUCUGACCGGAGGUUUGAGGAUGGUAGGCUGAACUGCAAUCCAACUUUGUACCAAGGAGUGAAUGCAAAUGUUCUCAAAAGCUGGCAGUGAACUGAGGACCUCUAUCAGAAAUAAUAGUGCGAGGCAUUCCGUGCAAUUUCAUGAUCUUAGAGAAGUACAACUCAGUAUAGUCGGAUGGUCGGUAUGUAGAAUGUACGGGAAUGAAAUGAGCUGACUUGGUCAAUCGAUCAACAAUCACCCAUAUGGAAUUGUGUCCUUUUUGAGUAGGGGGAAGCCCAACAAUGAAAUCCAUGCUGAUUUCUUCCCAUUUCCAACCUGAAAUCGACAAAGGUUGCAACAAUCCUGCAGGUUUAAGGUGAACUGUCUUUACCCUGCACCAAGUAUCACACCUAGCAACAUAAGUUCCUAUCUCUUUCUUCAUCUUGGUCUACCAGAAACGAGGUUUCAAGUCUUGGUACAUUUUACUACUACCCGGAUGGAUGGACAACUUAGAAGAAUGAGCUUGAUCUAAGAUUUUGUUGCGUAGGACACGGUCUUUGGGUACAACAAGUCGAUCAUCAAACCACAGUACGCCUUUCUCAUCUACCCUGAAAUGCUUGGUGUCUUGCUCGUUCAUUUUUCUCUUGAUAUGGAAGAUACCCGGGUCAGUCUUUUGGAGUUCUAUAAUUUGGCUCUCUAAAGAACAACUGACUACAAUGUUGUGCAGGACCACAGGGUGCAAUAAAUUGAAACCUUCCUCUAGGAGAGGUCCAACAUGUUGUUUCCGGCUAAGAGCAUCGGCUACCACAUUGGCUUUGUCGGGAUGAUAGUGCACUUCAAGAUUAUAGUCCUUUAUCAAUUCCAACCACCUUCUUUGUCUCAUGUUUAACUCAGGCUAGGUGAAGAUAUAUUUGAGGCUCUUAUGGUCAGUAUAAACGUGACACAGAUUACCCAAUAGAUAAUGCCUCCAGAGUUUCAAUGCAUGCACAACUGCUGCUAACUCUAGAUCAUGAGUCGUGUAGUUAGCUUCGUGCUUCCUCAGCUGUCGACAGGCAUAGGCAAUGACUCGGCCUUCUUGCAUAAGUACGCAGCCCAACUCGGUGCCGGAUGCAUCACAAAAGACAUCAAAUGGAUUUUCAAUGUCAGGUUGUGCCAAAACAGGAGCAGUGGUUAGCAGGUGGCGUAAAGCAGUAAAACCGACUUCACACUCCUGAGACCACACAAAUUUCACAUCUUUUUGCAGCAGCUUGGUCAUAGGCUUGGCUUUUGGAGAAGUAUGGAAUGAAGCGACGAUAAUAUCCCACUAGACCGAGAAAACUCCGAACCUCAUGCACCGAAGUCGGGGCCUUCUAGUCUAGAACCUCCUGUACCUUUGACGGGUCAACAUAAAUACCCUCCUCGGAUAAAAUAUGGCCUAGAAAAGGCACUUUCUUCAGCCAAAACUCACACUUGCUGAACUUGGCAUAGAGCUGAUGUUCUCGCAAUCUAGUGAGUACAAUACGUAGGUGCUUCUCAUGGUCUUGGGUAUAUUUAGAAUACACCAAUAUGUCAUAGAUGAACACCACCACAAACUUAUCCAGUUCACGCAUGAACACCGAAUUCAUUAGGUACAUGAAAUGAGUAGGGGCAUUAGUCAGACCAAAGGACAUGACUAGAUACUCAUACAACCCAUAACUAGUAGAGAAAGCCGUUUUAGGGAUGUCUUCGGGUCGGAUCUUGAUUUGAUGAUACUCGGACCUCAGAUCAAUCUUCGAGAAUACCUUAGCCUUAGCUAACUGAUCAAACAGAAUAUCAAUGCGAGGCUGGGGAUACUUGUUUUUGAUGGUCACGGCAUUCAGCAGACGAUAGUCUACACACAUACGUAGAGACUUGUCCUUCUUCUUGACAAAGAGAGCCGGACAACCCCAUGAAGAAGAACUAGGCCGAAUGAGACCUUUCUCCAGGAGUUCUUGCAAUUGCUUCUUUCACUCUGCUAAUUCAUUGGGUGGCAUUCGAUAUGGCCUUCUAGAGAUAGGUGCGGUACCUGGAAUUAGAUCAAUUUUAACCUCUAUGUCUCUGUCCGGAGGCAAACCGGGCAGAUCCUCUAGAAAGACAUCCGGAAACUCACACACUACAGGAAUCUCUACCACAGUGAGUGGUCUGAUAGCAUUUGCAGCGUGACAGAUGUCAUCAUUUUUGGGAAGUUGGACUAAGAAAGCUUCUUUACUAUCAGGCUCCCUCAACAUAACUGCCCUCGUUGAGGUAUCUAUUAACACCCCAUUAUUACUCAUCCAAUUCAUUCCCAAGAUAACAUCUAUGCCCAAGCCCAGCAAAAUUACAAGAUUUGCUGAAUAGCUACGACCUUCAAUAGCAAUAUGCACAUCCUUCACAAGUUGGUUUGUGGAAACCUGAUUCCCAGUAGCACUAAUGCAAAAUUUGCCAUUGUAAAGAUCAACUACAUGCUGCCCAUGCUUAGAUGCGAAUGCUUGGCUCAUAAAUGAAUGCGAAGCUCUAGAAUCAAACAACACAAUUGCGGGGUGCUGAUUUACAAGAAACAUACCAGUCGUAACCACUUCUCCUGCAGGGAUUUCUUCAAUGGUGGUGUAGUGCAUGUUGGGUAUUCUUAACAUCAUUACCAAAAGUAGACUAAGUUCUCUAAAUCUAGUAACGGUGCCAAAAAUGCCAAACCUAUCCCUCACACCACUUAAGCCAAGUUGUCAUCCCCAGCAUGACAUGAGAGACGCGGUAUUGAAAUAUGCAGUUGCUCUUCUAAAUAAAUAAUGAAUGGGAUCAUCAAUAUUGAUUACAUAAUAGAAUAUGAGAUUGAGUAUCUAUCGUAGCAUGUAUAAUUGAGAACAUUUAUCUAACUCUUUCAUACAGGGAUAAGUGUCACAUAAAGGAUAUAUGAAGUAAUGAAUAGUGACAAAGAUAAUUAAUCUGAUCAGCCACAUAUAAAUAUGAUAAGCACCUCAAUUAGAUACUCUAGAAAGUCAUUAGCAUGGAAUUAGAACGAACUACAAAAAUAUUUCCUAAGUUAUUCUCAACUAUAUAGUCUAGCAUUAUCAUAGUUAGUGCAAGCAUACUUAGCAAUCAUUGCGAGACAAGACUACGCCCAUGCAUAGUGAUAUUAGCAAGGUAAAUGAGAAACAUAGCAAUCAUUCCCCUGUAAUAAUAUUGCUCUGCCAGUCCAAUACACGAGAGGGGGACUAUAUAAGAAUCAAUGAAGCUGUCACUAUCAUGAACUACCCCACGAUCUGGCAUAUUGGGUACAAUCGUAAAUAAAUACGGUAUAAGCACCACGCCUAUACAAUAUCUAUCAUUUACCCAUGGAUCCGCUGGAUAAACGCUAUACGAUCCUAAGCAUGUAUAUAGAUCCAAUCUAACUAAGCCAAGUACAUAACUAUGAUAAACUAAGAACAAUAUAAUCUUGAAUAUAAGCAAGUAGAGCAAAGUCAUAAGCAAUAUAUUGAAGUAGAACAAAGUCAUAUUCAUAAUAUUGAAGAACAAAGAUAAUUAGAAGAACAAUUAGAAGCACAAUUAGAGAAUUACCAAGAAUCCUCUUGACAGAUCCGGAAACCAAUCGAAGAUUGACUCCUUCUAGUUCUAAUCCUAUGUAGCUAUGCUAACCUAGAUGUCUAAUUGAUGUAGUGGCUCUAGUCUUGAUCAGAGGCUUCUUCUCCCUUGAAGAACAAUGAAUUAGGGUUGAGAGGCUCUCUCCUCCAGGGGCCAGGGGGUCUGGUUUUAUAGUCCCUUCAAGUGAAUAUGGGCCGUUGGAUCAAACCGACAUUGAUUGAAUGGUUAUCCUUGAUCCUUUAGGUCGGUGGAGAUCUCCCACGAAGCAGAGUCCUGAUUGGACUCUCAGAGAGGGCGGGUGCCUAGGGUAGGAGGGGGGGCGCCCUGCCUCUGGCCCCGUUUCGCCUCCGCUUCGGUCUCGUGGCUUCUGGAGUCUUCUAGAUGUAAGAUAAUUGCGCGGCACGUUAAUAUCUCUAUGUAAUCCCGACAUGUGGGCCUUUCUUCCGUAUUUCCUGAUAACCCCCUGCAGAAAUAGAUAAACACCAAAACUCGUGGAAUUCUGUCACAUAAAACCCUAAGUCUAGAUGUUGAUUUUAUUUGGAUCCUUUUAUUUAUUUAUUUGAUAAUUAAAAUUGAUACUUAAGGACCGUCAACAAACACCCCCAAGCUUACCUCUUGCUCGUCCCUGAGCAAGGAUAGAUUAGAAGUUGCUGCAAUACUUUUUUUAAAAAAAUUGACGGUACACAUGCUUUUAAAUAAGAUCUCAUCUCUGAGUUAGAGUAAACUGUCAAGACUUAAAACUUACUUACUUUACCUUCACCAUAGGACUUGUAACCGUCACUUCUAUCUUGACUGGUUAAAAGAUAGAACAGUCUAGUCAAGAGCCAUGUCUCUUAUUCUUGAUCAGCUAUAGCUCUCGUGUCUUUGCAGAUUUUCAAAUAAAACUCAGAGAUUCCUUGUAUGAUUCUCUCAGAUCUCUCUUUUGUGGUAUUUCUGGAUCCUUACCAAGGCAGUGAUGGUAUAUGCCUUCUCUCAAAAAGUAUGUGGUAUUUAUGGUAUAAAGCAUAAUGACAUUGCCCUUCUCUCUCACCCUACUCAAUUAAGGCUUUAAUAUCUGGAGCUCAUAGGUGGGAGAUAAAAUAUACAUACUUACAAGCCAUUUAUUGUAUAGUCAAACCAUGGAUCCAAAGAAACAAAUCAAUAAGUCAAAUCAAGAUGUGCAUGUGUGGUGAAUGAAUGGUGUAUGGUGAUGAUGGUGAUAACAAUGGUGGAAGUCUAAUUCUACUUUUGCUCUUUUUAGGGGAUACAUACCUUCCUUGCUUUUUGAAACUUUGUGAGGAGAAUGAGAUGCUCUUCUUUUUCUCUCAGGUGGGUAUCUUGUACCCCUAAUUCUACUGUCGGACACUUAUCCAUUUUUACCUCUCAUCUCACUUUUUCUAUUCUUUCGAGGUUCCGGGCACUUGCCCCUUUUUAUUUCCUCGUAUCUUUUUUCCUUUUUUUAGAGCACUCAUCUCUUGAGAUAAUAUAGCAAGUGGUAGUAACAAGAUAACUUGAGCAUUUAUUUCACAGGGAAAAACAGAAAUAUUUUUGGCUAUUCUCUCCCGGAUUAGGAGUAGAAUAUUUUUAGGUGGUUCUGGAGAUGAAAAUGGGUAGAUAUAUGUGGAUGGUACUUCGGAGUAGAAGUAGCAUAUAUAAGUGAACGUGCAAGUGAAUCUUGAUUUAACCAUAUGACAAGCUCCUAAGGGUCUACACAGCUUGACCACACUCAAUGCUCAUAAGUAGUAAAUAGUAAAUGUGUGGCUCAAAGUCUAGCAAGCAUGUAUAUAUGACUGUGGUAGAAAUUUAAAACUCUCAUCAUACAGGAACUCAUCAUGCAAUAUUUUAAAGAUUUUCAAAGAUAAAAUUCUCCAGAAUUCUAGCAUCUCUAGGAACAGAUAAACAGCAGCUCAACCUUCCCAUAUCGUAUCCGUUAACAACUUAGACUUCAGAUCAAGUUUUCAUCCCACAAGUUUAGGUCUAUAGCAAGCUUUAAAUUAUAACAGUUAUGUCCAAACUUGAGAGAGAACUUCAAAUGUGCAAAUUAGGCAGAGCAACUAUGCAUCAUAUCCAUGCUAGAGUUUUAUUAUUAAGAUACAGAUUAGCAUAGCCACUUUAUUUAUUUAUUAAACACACUAAGCAAAAGACAUAUAUAUAUAAGCAUAAAAUCUUUAUUUGAUUUUUCCUGGUUUAUGUAUAUUUAUAUUUUAAUAUAGUAUAAGUAUAAAGAUAGAUAGAUAGAAAUACUUAUCGCUAUAAAUGGGGGUGCUCUCCCCCAAGCUGAAUUUUGACGUAAUUUCUCUCGAUAUAGCUAGCAGGUGGCAGAGGUGUAUUUGAAAGUCAGCAGCAUUCUGACAGCGAUUAGAAUGUCCUCCGUCUGCUAGUCUUCUUGAUUCUUAAAUUCUGUGGAGCUCAAAUAGACAACAAAGCUUGUGGAACUGAUUAAGUGUUAGCAUAAAUAUCUAGCCUUUAUCAUGUUGAGACUCCUUAAUAAUUAUUACUCCCUGUUUUUAUAUUUUUAUUUUAUAAAGCAGAAAUGAAAUUUUUAUUUCAUUUUUAUGCCACCACAGUGAAUGUACUUAUGUGUUUUAUGCCACUCGUAUACUCAUGGGCUUACUGUUUUUCACAUUCUUAUUUUCACUACAAGAAAUUCCCUGAUACAUAACAGAUUACUUUCAUCAUAGACAAGAAAAAAUGCAUCACAGAUUACUCAUAAUGACGAUCACCCAAGACGUCAUGUAUCCCGCAUCAUACAUUUGUUAGAGCGAAAUAGAGCGUCACGAAUUGGUUUUUUCAUUCGUCAUAGAUGAACUGGUCACAACAAUAGCAAAAGGCAAUAGUGAUGAAAUAAAUCGUCACAGAUUGACAUUUGAGUUCAUCAUGGAUUAGUUGUCCAUCAUCUAUUGUACCCAGCCCAUAUCCAAGCCCAGAUCCAAACCACAGUGACGAAAAAGAACAUCACUUAAGUGUGAAAUCAUCACUACAUUAACAUGCAACACAUCUCAGAAUACACCAAUCAUACAAACAAACAUUGAUUCUUUUAUUUCUUGGCAUGUCCACUAUUGUCACAUGCAGUUUGAGGAUAAUCAAUUCACAGUCAAACUAACAAGUACAUAAAACUAAGAUUUCAGCUCUAGGGAGUCUACCAUAAACAAACAUACAAACUAGAUUUCAUCUCUAAGAAUUCAAUUGGCUUGUUUUCCAUAUGAUAUGCUACCAAGCAUCUCCAGGAACUACCUGAAAAUCAAUAUGAAUAUAAAAUAUGUUAGUUCUGAGCAAAGAUUCUAAAAACAAAUGCUAUUUAUUUAUCAGGAAACAAUCAGAGUGGAUUGCAAGCUCUGUACUAACAAAUGCAACUCUAUCCUAGGCCUUUUGCGCUUGAAAUAAUUCCGGCAUACAUAACUAGCAUAGAAUGCAAGUUGGACAAUUGUACAAAUCUUUGUAUGCACAAUCUAAUUUUAAACCUAUGUAAUAAUUCAAGCUGGACAACACCACAAAUACAACUGAGGCAAAUAAAAAUGCUAGUUUGAUGAAAUAAAGAGGUACAUAGUUAGGCGUGAUCCAGUUUCUAUGAACAUGUAUAUACCUUUGUUUAUUUGUCAAUCUUUAGUAACAUCACUAAAAAGGUAUCACUUACUUACAUAUUUUAUAUACACAUUUCAUCAACCUGAAGUAACAUCGCUACUUUUGCCACUGAUCCCAAGCCUCGGUUGGCAAAGGAACAGACUUAAGUUCAUAAGAACCGAUGUUCUACUGUCCAAGAGCAAAACUAAUAUUUUCUUUCUAUCAGCUCAGCCCUACAGAUAAUACUACCACCUUAUUUCAUUGUUUGUCAAUGAUAACCGAACAGAUACAUGCCACCAGUAUACUAGCAGCUUGAGAAGAUACAGGAAGAAAGUGACGAGCCUGGCAGUAUGACUUACGCCUCAAAUCAGAUCAAUACCACAUAUUGCUAUCUAGAUCCAUAUAAGUGUUAAAUAAGUCUACAGGGAGAAGAGGCUCACCAGAUAUCUGACAUCUUCACCAAAAUUUUUGUCAAAUUUGAUGCCAGCAUCUUGCGUACAAGGUAGGAGCAAAUCACAAAACUGGAAAUCAAAAUUAAAAAAAUCCUGAACACCAAGUUACUAGCGGCAACAAAACAGUGUUGCCGAGAGUAGGGAGUAAAUAUGACGCCUGCGCUAUGUAGGUCUUAAUCUCAUAAUAAAUUCCAUCCUACUCGACCUCAUCUUGCCCUGUGGAAUCAAUUUCAAUCUCCUCGAUCUAGAGCAAGACAGAUCCCAUAAAUCCCCAUCCUACUCUACUCAGAUCCCAUAAAUCCCCAUCCUACUCUACUUCAACAAAACAUGCAACUAGGGUUAGGGCCAUCAUAGGCAUCGUUAGGGUUACCCAUGAGCACACGGAGCACCAUGACCGAGGGGACUUGAGAUGGCUGGGAUAUGUGGCACACACAUAGAUCCUGCCAUCGUCAUCGCCCGUGUGUUGGGAUCUUGUUGUCGCCGCCACCCGGGCUGGGAUCUCGCCACCACCGGCGCCCACGCUCGAUUCAAGCUGGCCACACCCGGAUCUAGCGCCUGCGCUUCGAUCUCGCAGCCGGGGCCACCCCAUUCCGGAAAACACGGCCCUACCACAGGGAGCUGCGGGGAGGAGCACAGGCCUGCGCAGGGGAGGAGGUUGCGGAAGGAGCCGCCGCUGGCGCUUCCGGAGCACGAUUGGUAUUUGGUAGAAGAAGGCUGAGAGAGAGAUAGAUGUGUUGGGCUUUCAGGGAGAUAUGCCGAGCGUCCGAGCGAACGAGUGAUGGAUGUCGGCGUUUCUAUUUUGUUUUUUCUUUCUCUAUAUUUUUUUAUUUUUUUAAUAAAGAUGGGUGAUGGGUUGAUUUUGUAUUUAAUUAUUUAUUAUUUUCUUUUUUAUUUAUUUAUAAUUUUUCUAUGAAACAACCAAAAGAACAUGCGUGCAUCUAUUUCUUUUUUUUACGGGAAACACCACGUUCAAAAUAUUUAUAAACCUUUCCACAUUUUAUGAAUAAUUUCUAUGCAUAAAUUAAUUAUAUAAAGAAAAAAAACUUUUUUAGAACCCUAUUUGAGUUCAGUCUUUAAAGUAGCACAGGAGAAUAUGAUCUGUGACAUCUAGCCGUGACGAUAGCUAUAUCAGUCGUCAUAGCUGUGUCACCUUGGAAAUGAAUCGUCAUAGAUAUUAUAAUUCUAUGAUGCUUUCUUAGAACGUCACCACUAAACCGUCAUGUAAAGCCUAAUUUUUUGUAGUGUUUUUUUUAAGAUAGUAUGAACAUGAUUAACUAAGCAAACUAAAAUAAUUGAAAGGGAAAGGAUAACUACCAAGUUUACCUCUUGGCAAGGCGUUCGGUGUUUUUAAGUACUCCGAACGGGACUCUCCAUUUUCUUAAUUGUCCUGGGAUUCGUUGGUUGGCGGAGUCGGUACUUCCGGCGGCGCCUCUUCUUCAUGUAUAGUUAUCUUCUCUUUCCAUACCUGACUCGGUGCUACGGUGUCCUCUAGAUAAUUUUGUUUAAACUCUACGUCUUCUGACCUUACAACUUCUCCUUCAUAGUCUGCCCAUCCGUCCUUGAUGAUUUGCCUCCUCUGGUUGCGGUUGCGUCGCUUUCUUACCUGCUUAGAUUCUUCAAAGAUGUAGUUAGGGUGAGUAAAAUAGCGGCGUACCUUCUCUGAGGGGAAGUGCAUAUGGACUUCUCCGGUUCCAAUAUAGAUGAUUGCUUUAACGGUGCUGAGGAACUGUCUUCCAAUGAUGAUGGGUGGAUCGUAUUCGUCUUCUUCCAUGUCGAUAACUUGAAAGUCUGUGUAGACAAAAUGAUCGUCUAUUUUGACUGGGACAUCAGUUAUUCUUCCUUUAACUUCUCGAAAUGUUUGAUCUGCCAUCUGGAGCUGAAUGUAUGUUGGUUUUAGGGGCAUGGUUCCGAACAAGAGCCGAUAGGUGACUGCGGCCAUUAUGUUGACGCCCGAUCCGGUGUCGCAAAACGUCUUGUAGAAGCUGUAUCCAUUUAUGGAGCAAUAGAUGCUUGGCAUUCCUGGGUCGUCCUUCUUGGUCAAAAACGGUGACUUAAGUUGGUGAUCUUGGCCUCCAUGAACUACAGUGACCAUCUUAGCUGACUCGGUCCAUACUUGCUUGUUCCUAUUCCUCCGGUUGGUCCUCUUCCUUGAUUCACGUCUGGAUUGAUUUGGAAUUUGUGCAGUCUUGUUCUUGAAGAAAAAUGUCUCCUUCCUCCCUUUGAUGUAAAAACUGAUCUUGGCAGCACUGGCGUAGAUGAUAGCUCCCGUGGUGUUCAAGAAUGGCCUCCUUAAGAUGAUGGGUGCCCUCUCAUCAUUUCCGGUCUCUACCACUACGAAGUCUGCUGGGCAUAUAAGGUACCAACUCGGACACAUAGGUUCUUCAAUAUUCCUUUUGGAAAACUUAUCGUCUGAUCUACAAACUGCAAACACAUGGUUUUUUCUAAUAAAGGAUAUGUAAAGAAUUUCACAUAGAGUACCCUGGGUAUAAUUUUGACGCUGGAGCCAAAGUCGCAGAGUGCUUCUGGGACGUCCACCAUGCCGAUGGAGAUCGGGAUGACGGGGCGUCCUGGAUCUCCUCUCUUGACCGGCAGAAGGUCAGUAGUGAAUUUAGUGACGGGGUUACUCCAAUUAUUACCUGCAUCAAACAUGUCUACAAGAUUUGCAGAUUCUAAUCAUUUUGGUUGUGAUGGUAUACUGGGGUUAGUAGCAGGAACAACAGCAGCUAUUUGAUUUAAUUGAGAUUCAAUCAUUUUAUUAAAGCUAAUUUGAUUCUUGAUAGCAGUAGAGAAAUUAUCCAUUCUAUUAUUUAUAUUUUCUAGCAUUUUAUCAUUAGAUGCCAAUUUCUUAGAUAGGUUAUCCAUUAGCUUUCCUUGAUUAGACACUAACUCUCUCAGAGGUGGAAAAUUAUUAUUAUUGUUGUAAGAAUUGUUACCUUCAUAAUUACCUCAGUAGUUAGGCCUCUGUUGAUUCCAACCUUGAUUUUGUUGAGGAUGGUUGUAGUAGUAGUAGUUGUUGUUGAUGUAGUUCACAUCCUCAAGCAUCUCAGGGCAGUGAUUGCCUGAGUGUCCAGUAUCUCCACACUCCUCACAAGUCAUGUGAGAGUCGUAGAUGUGCAUAACUUCUUUCUUGUCCCCAGCUCUAUCAUCGAGCUUCUUCAUGAGCAGGUCUAGCUUUGCAGAUAGCAUGUCUACCUCCUUGAGCUGAUGCAUACCUCCACCUCUCUUGCGUGUCUGGGUCCUCUCUUCAUUCUAGCCUUGAUUGGACGCCAUCUUCUCCACAAGAGCUGUGGCUUGUGGUGUGGUAAGUGAUAAGAAUGCUCCUCCAGCUGCAGCAUCCAUGGUCUCUCGGGCACUGUUGCCGAGCCCAUGAUAAAACGUCUGCAUCAAUAGCCAACUCUCCAUUCCAUGAUGGGGACAUUCUAUGAUGUAGUCUUGAAAGCGCUCCCAUGCUUCUGGAACAUAUUCAUCAUUUUGUUGCUAAAAACUUGUAAUCUUCCCACGGAGAGCAUUGGUCUUGCCCAUAGGAAAGAACAUAGCCAGGAAGUUUGUUGAGCAGAGUGCCCACGAAGUAUUCUUCUCCUUUGUAGCGUAGAACCAUUGCUUCGCUCUUCCUAACAGUGAGAAUGGGAAGAGGCGAAGUAGUAUAGCAUCUUUGGAAACCCCUGAUAUGGUGAAUGUGUUGCAAAUCUCCAGGAAGUGUUGUAGAUGAGCACUAGCAUCUUCGUGUGCCUUCCCACAGAACUGGUUGGAUUGCACCAUGUUAGUAAGUCCAGGCUUGAGCUUAAAGUUGCCAUCGAUCUCAGCAGCAGGACCCGUGCGGAUGUUGUCCGUAGUGGGAGCUGAGAACUCGCGGAUCGAUUUGUUCACCAUGGCUUCGAACUCUGAAGACGAGUUCCGGUGAUCUUCUUGAUUGGAUGAAGCUUCUUGCUGAAGUGUUGAUGAUCUCUUCUUGAGCUUGGCUCUAGUUCUUCUGAAUAAUGCUUCGGGAUUGUCAACAAAAUUUCCUGGAAGAUGUCUUCUUUUCAUACAUUCCCCUACAUAAGAUAAAAUAGAAAAAUAUCGGGGUAAAACUGUAUGAGAGAAUAGAUAAGCUCAAUCAUAUUAGUGAUGCGAAUGAUUGUUGACGGUCCUUAAGUAUCAAAUUUAAUUAUCAAAUAAACAAAGAAAAGGAUCCAAAUAAAAUCAACACCUAGACUUAGGGUUUUAUCUGACAGAAUUCCACGAGUUUUGGUGUUUGUCUAUUUCUGCAGGGGGUUAUGAGGAAAUAAGGAAGAAAGGCCCACAUGUCGGGAUUACAUAGAGAUAUCAACCCACCGCACAAUUUUCUACCAUCUAGAAGACUCCAGAAGCCACGGGAAGGAAGCGGAGCCCGAAAGGGGCCAGGCCUAGGGCGCCCGCCCUGAGGACCUGGGCGCCCGCCCACCUCUAGACCCCGUUCCGGACUCUCUUCACACACGACGUUCCACCGACCUAUUGGAUCCAGAAUAACAUAGUACCACCUCGCCUAUCGACCCAAAAAUGCAUAGAAGGGGAGGACUGUAAUAGAACCGACCAAAUUAUAAGAGAUUAAGCCUAAUAGUGACCAUUUGCAUAGUCGAACCAUCACGCUUAAGCCCAUAUAAUCCCGGUAGUCCAUGAAAUCUCGAAGGAUUUCAAACCACACAUCGCAUACAGCCAAGAUCGUAAUAAGUUUAGCGGCCGCCAUCCAUAAGUACAUCCAAAUUACAACAUUCAUGAAACACAUCGGAGUACUUAAGUUAUUACAAACCAAGUUCUUCAAGUAGCGGAAGCUUCAUAGUUCGAAAUUACAACACACACGAUAAGUCUGAUACAGUGCCAUAGUUUGGUCAUUCCCACAAAAGCAAAGGAAGAGACGGAGUGACCAUCGCCCUUGGUCUAGUCAUCACCCAUAGCUGGGUACAGACAGAGGAUGCAAUAACCAUAGUACAUUUGACCAUCUGCAAAACAACAUGGGAAUAGAACCCUGAGUACGAGAAGGUACUCAGCUAGACUUACCCGUCAUAAACUUAAAAUAAAGACUCAUCAAGGAUCAUGAAGGCUAUUUAGUGGGGUAGCUGACAACCAUUUUGCAAAGACCGCAAGGUUUUAUUACCCUAACCUACCAAAAUCUUUUCUUCUUUUAAUUUGCUCAAGUUGAAAGUAUCAUUACCUAUUAUCUAGGUUUGCUCCUGUGCUACUACAAGCAAGUAUGAGACUAUGAUAGUACCUCAUCAUAGCAUUUCCUAAACCAUUCAUCAUUAUAACCCAAGUGUUUCAUAGUCCUUACUACGAGGACGAAGCUCAUGUCAAGUGCUCACUAUCCAGGAGCGAUGGCGAUUCGAAUCGAUUUCUAACCAGCUGGCGAGGUAUUCCCCACACAAACCACACUCACUGAUCAAGUGAGCUACAGAUCACCAUAUUACACUAUCCAGGACCAAUUCGCGGGUUCGGCAGGCACCGCCAGUACCCGAGGACCGUUCCGGCGACCGAGGUAUCCAGGGUAUACCAAGGUUGCGCGCCGCGCCCUCGUCGUUCUCCUCAACCAUCACCAAUACAGCGCAUGGCGGCUCGAUUCCCGGCCCGGAUAGUGUUCAGGCUUCGCGGUCGGAACGACUUAUCCUUCCAGCUAAGUGUGGGGCAUGCGUUCAACAUGACAAGAGGGCCGUCAACGAUCGGUCCUUAAUCGACACAGGCAGGGGCACUACGGUCAACUACACCAUAAGACCCUACCCGGUCUCAAGUUCAAUCCCACACUUGGUUACCUAUUUCCCUCAUAGCAUUGAUAGCUAAUCAAACAGGUGUCCACCUAUAUCUCGCAGGUGACAGGAAAUCACCCGACUUCUACCGUAUUAAGCAAGCUAAGCAUAGACUCCGAGCCUAUCUACAUAGGACAAGGUAGAUAAACAGGUGGUGAUAUCAAGGAGUAAUUAUGCAUCAACGGUAUCAAGUGUGGGGCAUGCGUUCAACAUGACAAGAGGGCCGUCAACGAUCGGUCCUUAAUCGACACAGGCAGGGGCACCAUGGUCAACCCACCAUAAGACCCCGCCCGGUCUCCAAAUUCAUUCCACACUUGGUUAUUCUUUUCCCCGAGCAACCACUGCUUAAUCAAGCAGGUAUCCACCUAUAUCUCGCAGGUGACAGGGAAUCACCCGACUUCUACCGAACUAAGCAAGCUAAGCAUAGACUCCGUGCCUAUCUACAUAGGACAAGGUAGUUGAAUGAGCAGGAAUAACAAGGAGUACUCAUGCAGCAACGGUAUCAGGCAACUCCUAUCACUUAAUAUGCAAUACAGUAGAACAAGUAUAGCACUUUAUAUAAGUUAGCGAGAAUAGGGAGACUUAGAAUGCUCCGGGGCUUGCCUUUCUCAAACGUGCUGGGUCGGUGAUCCGGACACUCUUGAAAUUCCUCUCCGGGUUCCUGUGCCUCCGGAGGUUCCUGCUCCUGUAUCUCCUCGGGUUCCUCGGGUCCCACUUCGUUCUCCUGCGAGCCUGUAUGAUGCAUAUAUGCUCAUGAGUGGAGUGUGAGAUGCCCGAGUGGAUGCUUGUAAGAGAGAGUGUCAAAGGAGUCAUGUUAUGAUGCAUAGGUGAUGCACUGUGUCAUGCUUAUUACAAGGUAGUCAACAUCAUCCGGGAACAAUAACUAAAUUAAGCAUCUGUUGCAUUCUCUUCUACAGAUAUUUUUCAAAUGCAAAUAGCAACCCCCAUGAUGCUUCAAAGAUACACCAAACCCAACUUAUUCCAUUCAACCUACAUACACAACCAUUCAUAAUUUUCUUUAUUCAUUUCUAAGCUCAUUAAAAAUCAAAUGCAAUUCUGUUCAUCAAUAAAUUCCACAAAAAUUACAGGAGACUACCAGCUAAGCAUAAAGUCUACUGUAAAUUUUUCAUGAUUUUUGGAUACUUAUUUUGAGCCACAAAAAUCACAAGAUUAAUUAAUAAGGCAAGUAAAAUCACUCUACUGGGAUACAAGUGUUAAACAACAGAUUUCAUAUUUUUACAAUUUGCAUAAUAUCAUAAGAAACACCCACAAAAUUUUCCAGAUUUAUUGCAUGACCCAUUUAAUUAUUAAAAAUCAUAAAUUACUGCCAUGCAAGCAUUUAAAUUACCAUAAAUUCAUUUAUACACCAAAUAAUAUGUACCCACUUUUUCCCAGUGAGCAAACACACAUGCAAAGCCAACAAAUCAAGUUUCACAUUUUUCUGAGCCAUGUUUUAUUUACUAUGCAUUUUCCAAGUUUAACAAAAUCAUGGAUAAAAUAUAUUCACACAGAAAAGUUACUCCAACAUGACAUGCAAUUACAUCAAACUGUAGAUCUGGAAAUAUAGAGCACACCAAAAUUUAUUUCAUUCAAUUUGGAGCUGUAGAACUCAAGAUAUAGAUUUUACAAACUUUAAAUCAAUUUCUAGAAAACACUUUUUCAAGAAAACCGACGAAAAAGGCUACGCACACCCAGAUCUACACCCACCAGGGUACCCCUGCGACUGACAGUGGGUCCCCGACCCCACCAGUCAGCGAGACCGAGAGGGAGCUCACCUCCGACGAGCGGAUCUCGCCGGCGGUGAGGUCUCCGGCCACAGGGUGAGCACCAACGUGCUCCCCGCAGCAAGACGCACCCAGCGGUACCCUUGGAUCGACCAGAGGACGGUCGGAACACCUCCGGCGAGCAUGCAUGGCGGCACGGCGGCGCUGCUCGCCGUGGCCAGGCUGCUCCGGCGCAGUAGAGCGUGCGCAAACGCCUCUCCGAGCUUCCUCACCUUCCUACCGACCUAGCGCAACAGAGAACGAGCGAAAGGAGGCAGGGAAACGCUAGAUCCAUCGCGGCGGAGUACUCCGGCGAGCUCGGGGUAACUCCGGCGAGCGAUUCACGGCGCUCGACGGACUCUCACCUCGGUAGAACGUUCGCACGAGCUUACCCUAGCGACGGCGAGUGCCCUGGUGCUCUCGGCGUCGAGCUUGAGGCUCUGGUGUGGCCGGCGACGAGCGGCGGAGCUCUCUCCGGCAAUGGCGCGCGGAGGAGCGGCUGCUGCUGCGCGGUGCGAGCGGAGGAAGGAGAAGGAGGGCGCGGGGGAGACAGAAUGGAGGGAGUGGCCUGGGAGCUUACGCGGGCGUCCCGACCAGGUGGGGGGGGGGGUUGGAGGCCGGCCGCGGCGCGUCCAACGCCGGCGUACGGCCGCCACGUGGCCGGCGCCGGGUGGAGCGAGGCGGGCGCCGCGCGCGCGGGAGAGAGGGGAGGGGGAGCGGGCCGCGCUGUCCAGCUGGGCCAGAAGGGAGGCGGGUCGGCCCAGCAGCGCCUGCCCCCUUUCCCUUUUUUUUGAAUUUCUUUUCUCAAAUUCUUUCUAAAUUCAUUUGGACCAAUUUAAAAUCAUUUUCACCUCUUGCUCCCAAAAACAAAGUUGUUCCAAAUUAAAAACUCUACAACUUUGCUUUGACAAGCAAGACCAAAUUCCAAACAAAAUCUGAAUUACAAGUUAAAACUCAGUUCUAGGUUUUAAAUAAAUUCAUUUUGGGAAAAUUUGUAUAAAUUCCAUUUCUCAAAUUCCAUAGCUCCAAAAAUUGCACAAAAAUAUUCUAAAUUCUUCUUACACAUAAAGCAACCUAAUUUGAACAUUUCACAAUUUUAGAAGCAAGCAUCAUAUUUUUAACAUAUUUAAAACACAUGAAAUGAUGCACAUAAAAUCAUACUUGAAAAGAAUGACAUGCUCAUGAUGCUUAUGAUUGAUGAGGAUGCUUAUGCAUUGCUUUGCCAAGGCUAAGUGCAUGCUUAACACCUAGGUGUUACAAGGACUAUAUAAGGAGACCCCCUCUGGCUCCUGGAGGAGACAAGAAAUUAUCAUAGAGAUUGACGGGUGCCCUCGAAGGAAAACCUCUUCUCUAAAUAAUAUUUCUUUUUAGGCUUAGCAACCAAUGUAAAGUAGAAAUAGAUCUUCUAGUUUCUACUAGAUUGAGAGAGAUAGAGUGGAGGUGUGGAUCGGAGGAAGGCCGGCCUGUCGGUGUCUACUCUGAGUUGUACCUACGGGAUCAAGUCUCCUAACCCGAGGCUUGCUUCUAAGAUUCUUCAGUAAUUCGACUUCUAAUACUAGUAAGUUCUUGUUUUAUUGUUCUUUGGUUUAUGAGUUUACUUUAAUCCUCUUCCGGUUGAGUAUUAGAGUAAUCACUUGUUAGCGUAAAUGUGGUGUUUAGGCUAGGGUACUCAUAGAUAUCCCCUGACUAGCUGGACCGUGCUAGUAGCGAGGAACGUGACAAUUCCGAGUUACCUUUGCAGAUCACAUCUCGUUAGCAGGACGGGUAGGGUUAUAGGUGCGGGUCGAACAUCCUUUGUGUUGUCUAGAUUCUGUGAGCCUCCCCAAUAGAACAGUAGAUCAUCCUUACCAAGGUUAGAACGAGACUAUGGUUGCAGUCUUCUCUAUACAUCACUCACAUCGAGAGACAUUCUUGUAGCCUAAAGGGGUAGUAGCAAUAGAUUUGGUUAGUCAGAUGCACCCUUUCUCCCAGUGGUAAAAAUAUAAAUACGAUAACUCUGGAAAACCUCCCGGGUGAAAUGCUCACCGAUAUCCGUGCGCUUGCGGAUCAUUUUCUAAUUGCAUUACCAAAUAUCAACAAGCAUUUCUGGCGCCAUUGCCGGGGAGAAAGACGGUUUGCUGAGAUAACUUUAAGUCUUGCUAUUAUCUUGUAUUAUACUUUUAUACUUUUAUUCUUUUAUCUUUUUAUUUUUAUCUUUAUGGAUAACUCAAAUUCCAUACCUAUUAUUAAAUUCUUUGCACCUUCGGAGACCAACCAUAGACCAUGGGAGUCAACACGUCCUGCCCCUAAUUAUGAUCUGUGUCCGGAGUUGAUUGCAAUAGGUCAAAAGCAACCCUUUUCUAUAGCUGAGGUCCUAUCUUUUAAUCAAGAAGAUAAUGCACUUUUAGCUACACCUAGGGAAUCUGUUAAUCUUUCUAUAACUUCUGGUUCAGACCUAGCCCUACAAGACCAUGUUUUUCCUAGAUAUUUUCACAUUGGUCUUAAUCAUAUAACCUUUGGUAGAGUCCUUCUUUCUUUAUCUAUUAGUAAAGGAAGGUAUGUCUUCAUUUGUGGACAUCCUUCUUGUACUAGUCUUCAUAGAAAAAUCUUAGAAAUAGAGAAGGAAUCAUCUCCCAGACGAGGAAAGGAAGUUUCAAUAACCGAUUUCCAAACAUUUCAAUCCCAUGAUUCAGCUAUCCAUCCCAUCCUUGAGCUUAAUAAUCUCUACUAUGCUAUUUCUCUUGAACCUCCCGAUAAUCCUAUGAAUCUAUCUAGACAUCCCAUGCAUAAGAAGGAGGAUCGAGAAGAGCAACAUCAAUGGCUAAAGGGCAUUAAAAAUCCAUGUGCUAUCACCAUUGAAUGGAUAGAUAAAACAAACUUGAGAGACAAUCCUAGAGGAAUUUUUAGCAUUCAUGAAGAAUCAUCCUUGGAGUUUGAGAAUGAGAGAAACAACAGUGAGCAUGGAAGUUAUUUCAUAAAUACCUUACCCAGUCCUUGCUCAUAUAAAACAUCUCUCCAAUCAAUUAGUCUCUCUAUCCUUAUCACAUUUGAGAUCUCCAACCCUCUCUUCUUUUCUAUUUAUAAAAACUUUAAAAGAGCGGUUGUCGAUGCAUAUGUCUAUAAUAAAUAUUGCAGAUCUCGUUGAGUUGAUUAAUGGUUUCCCAAGGACAAGCUUAGUGUCCUAAAACAAGCACUUAUCAGAUCGUAAUAUGAAAUUUGAAUUAUUUGCAACAUUGCCUUGUGUAUUGAGCAUAUAAAGAUAAUUGUAGAAAUAUUCCUUCGGGUAUUCUUGUCACUAACCUAUCCAGGAUUGGAGCAAGAGGAUCGGAUGGAUGACAAGCACAAGGUAUGUCUAACCAACCAUCACACAACAUUGAAUUAAAUUCAUCCAAACUUGAAUUUUGCAAAAUUCGAGCUUGGGGGAGUACUUUACAUAAAAACAUCCUUUGCCAUGUUGCUACAUUGGUUGUCCCUACCUUUGAGAGAUGCUCAAUUUGUUAAGUACUAAUUACACUACUUCACCUCCAUUUGAGUAGAUCGCUAUAAAUGCUCUCAUGCUACCUUUAUUUGCUUUAGUAUAUGUCUAGGUUUGGAGUAGUUUCAUUUAUCUCUUAAAUCAAGCAUGGUGCUUAGUUUAGGAAUGAUGAUCUUACUUCCAAAGGAUUUUUAAAUUAAGCAUGGUGCUUAGGUUAAAAUGCCCUCCUAAAUCAAAUUAGACAUGGUUUCUAGGUUGAUUUUUGAGCCGAUAGUAUGCUAUAGUAGAUAUGGGGUAUUUUGUUGGACUAACCCCUGUAGGAAAACUUUCAAUAUCAAGCUGGGAAGUCCUGAGAUACAAACUCAUUGGAGAUAAAGGAGACACAUGAAGUUUAACAAUUUGCACAAGAAGGACAUAGCUCAUCACAAAGAGAUGAUUCAUGGAGGGUGCCACAAACACGAUGCACAACCGCUAAGAAAGGAAAGCUUCCACAAGGUGAUACUAUUCCAUCACUCUUCAAGUAAGGUAACAUCUUAAGGUACUUGACUAUCACUUUUAUAAGCUUCUCCUUAGUCCUAGCAUUCACAUAAAAUAAAGAGACAAACAUGUAUGAAUUGUAGCUCCAAAUUAAUCAACCCAAUUAAUUCAACAUGUUUAGUCCUUUAAUCUUUGUUUUUAGUACUACCUUCGUGAUCCCACACUCCUAAUCGUAUAAGCUAAAGUAUUGCACAUUCAAUAUUUGGAAGAUAUAAACAAAACAUAAAUAUAGAUAGAUUAUCUUUCCAUUAGGUUGAGCCAUCUGAUCUAACAAAUGUUUUAAAUGCUACACUCAUGAUUCAUCAACUUUGUCUUGCUCACUACGCUUAAGGUUAGAGAAGAACAAAUACACUUUUGGUUCUGUUGGUGUUUUCCACCAACAGGGCCCAUGCACUUGAUCUCUACCUUGUCUAUAUGAGCAGGAACACUUCGAGCAUAAUAUGAAGGAGUUUUACAACUCCCAGAUUCCACCAAGUGAAGCACUAGGAUCUACGAGCACAAACACACUGGAGAUACUGGACGCUCAGGCAAUCACUGCCCUGAGAUGCUUGAGGACGUGAACUACAUCCACAACAAUAACAACUAUUACUACAACCGUCCUCAACAACAUCAAGGUUGGAAUCAACAGAGGCCUAAUUACUCAGAGAGCUGAUCUAGGACGCCCCGUCAUCCCAAUCUCCAUCGGCAUGGUGGACUUCCUAGAAGCACUCUGCGACUUUGGCUCCAGCGUCAACAUUAUGCCAAGGGUUGCAGAUCGGACACUCAGUUUCCCAAAGGAAAUAUUGAAGAACCUCUGCGUCCGAGUUGGUACCUUGUACGCUCUAGCAGACUUGUGAUAGAGACUGGUACUGAGGAGAGGACACCCAUCAUCUUAGGGAGGCCAUUCCUAAACACCAGAGCUGUCAUCUACGUUAAUGCUGCCAAGAUCAGUUUCUACAUCAAGGGGAAGAAGGAGAUUUUCCUUCAAGAACAAGACUAUACAAGCUUCAGAGCAAACCCGACAUAAACAAAGGAUUAGGACCAACAGGAGGAAUAGGAACAAGCAAAUAUGGACCGAGUCAGCUAAGAUGGUCACUGCAGCUCAAGGAGGUCAAGAUCGUCGACUCAAGUCAGCUUUCUUGAUCAAGAAGGACGACCCUGGUGUUCCAAGCAUUGAGUGCACAGUCAAUGGAUAUUCUUUUUAGAAAACACUCUAUGACACCGGAUCUGACGACAACAUAAUGGCCGCAGUCACUUAUCAGCUCCUGCAUGGAACCAUGCCCCUACAACCAAGAUACAUUCAGCUUCAAACAAUUUUCAGGUCAUUGACAUAGGAGAAGACAAGUAUGAUCCACCCACCAUCCUUAGAAGACCGUUCCUCAACACUAUCAAAGCCAUUAUCUAUAUUGGAACCGGAGAAGUCCACAUGCACUUCCCCUCUGAGAAGGUACGCCACUACUUUAAUAAUUCUAACUAUAUAGUUGAAGAUUCUAAGCAGGUCAGGACAAGAAGACAACGCAACCGCAACCAGAGGAGGCAAAUCAUCAAGGACGGAUGGGUAGACUACGAAGGAGAAGUGAUAAGGACUGCAGAUAUACAACUUGAACAGAACUGUCCUGAGGAGACCGUAACACCGAGUCAGGUAUGGAAAAUGAAGAUAACUAUAAAUGAAGAGGAGGCGCUGCCGGAAGUACCGACUACGCCACCCAACGAACCUCAGGACGAUUAAGAAAAUGGAGAGUCCCGUUCGGAGGACUUAAAAACACCGAACGCCUUGCCAAGAGGUAAACUUGGUAGUUAUCCUUUCCCUUUUAAUUAUUUCAAAUAGUUUACUUAGUUAAUCAUGUUCGUAUUAUCCUAGAAAGAAAAUAAAAAUGUGAAGAAAAAAAAACUGUAAGCCCCAUGUGAGUAGACGAGUGGCAUAAAACCCAUAAGUACAUUCAUUGUGGUGGCAUAAAAAUAAAAUAAAUAUUUUUCUGCUUUAUAAAAACAAAAAUAUAAAAUCAGGAAGUAAUAUUUAUUAAGGAGUCUCAACAUGAUAAAGGCUAGAUAUUUAUGCUAACACUUAAUCAGUUCCACAAGCUUUGUUGUCUAUUUGAGCUCCACAGAAUUUAAGAAUCAAGAAGACUAGCAGACGGAGGACAUUCUAAUCGUUGUCAAAAUACUGCUGACUUUCAAACACAUCUCUGCCACCUGCUAGCUACAUCAAGAGAAAUUACGUCAAAAUUCAGCUUGGGGGAGAGCACCCCCAUUUAUCUCGAUAAGUAUUUCUAUCUAUCUUUAUACUUACACUAUAUUAGAAUAUAAAUACACAUAACUAUGAAAAACCAAAUAAAGAUUUUAUGCUUAUAUAUAUUUUGCUUAGUGUGUUUAAUAAAUAAAUAAAGUGGCUAUGCUAAUCUGUAUCUAAGAAAACUUAAGCAUGGAUAUGAUGAAUAGUUGCUCUGCCUAAUUUGCAAAUUUGAAGUUCUCUCUCAAGUUUAGAUAUGACUGUUAUAAUUUAAGGCUUGCUCUAGACCUAAACUUGUGGGAUGAAAACUUGAUCUGAAGUCUAAGUUGUUAACGGAUACGAUAUGGGAAGGUUGAGCUGCUGUUUAUCUGUUCCUAGAGAUGCUAGAAUUCUAGAGAAUUUUAUCUUUGAAAAUCUUUAAAAUGUUACAUGAUGAGUUCCUGUAUGAUGAGAGUUUAAAUUCCUACCACAGCCAUAUAUACAUGCUUGCUAGACCUUGAGCCACACAUUUAUUAUUUACUGCUUAUGAGCAUUGAGUGUGGUCAAGCUGUGUAGACCCUUAGGAGCUUGUCAUGUGGUUAAAUCAAGAUUUCACUUGCACGUCCACUCAUAUAUGCUACUUCUACUCCGGAAGUACCAUCCACAUAUAUCCACUCAUUUCCAUCUCCAGAAUCACCUAAAAAUAUUCUACUCCUAAUCCGGGAGAGAAUAACCAAAAAUAUUUCUGUUUCCCCUUGUGAAAUAAAUGCUCAAGUUAUCUUGUUACUACCACUUGCUAUAUUAUCUCAAGAGAUGAAUGCUCUGAAAAAAAAGAGAGAAAAAGAAAAUAAAAGAUACGAGGAAAUAAAAAGGAGCAAGUGCUCGGAACCUCGAAAGAAAAGAAAAAGAAUAGCAUCUCAUUCUCCUCAUAAAGUUUCAAAAGCAAGGAAGGUAUGUAUCCUCUCAAAGAGCAAAGUAGAAAUAGACUUCCACCACCAUUGUUAUCACCAUCAUCACCAUACACCAUUCAUUCGCCACACAUGCACAUCUUGAUUUGGCUUAUUGAUUUGUUUCUUUGGAUCCAUGGUUUGACUAUGCAAUAAAUGUCUUGUAAGUAUGUAUACUUUAUCUCCCACCUAUGAGCUCCAGAUAUUAAAGCCUUAUUAGAGUAGGGUGAGAGAGAAGACAAUGUCACUAUGCUUCAUACCACAAAUACUAAAGCCUUAUUAGAGUAGGGUGAGAGAGAAGACAAUGUCACUAUGCUUCAUACCACAAAUACUACAUAUCUUGAGAGAAGGCAUAUACCAUCACUGCCUUGGUAAGGAUCCAAAAAUACCACAAAAGAGAGACCUGAGAGAAUCAUACAAUGAAUUUCUGAGUUUUAUUUGAAAAUCUGCAAAAACCCCAGAGCUAUAGCUGAUCAAGAAUAAGAGACAUGGCACUUGGCUAGACUGUUCUAUCUUUUAACCACUCAAGACAGAAGUGACGGUUACAAGUCCUAUGGUGUAGGUAAAGUAAGUAAGUUUUAAGUCUUAACAGUUUAUUCUAACUCAGAGAUGAGAUCUUGCUUAAAUGCGUGUGUACUUCUAAGAAAUGAAACCACUGCAGAAACUAUUGAGUUCAUCCUUGCUCAGGGACGAGCAAGAGGUAAGCUUGGGGGAGUUUGUUGACGGUCCUUAAGUAUCAAAUUUAAUUAUCAAAUAAACAAAGAAAAGGAUUCAAAUGAAAUCAACACCUAGACUUAGGGUUUUAUCUGACAGAAUUCCACGAGUUUUGGUGUUUGUCUAUUUCUGCAGGGGGUUAUCAGGAAAUAAGGAAGAAAGGCCCACAUGUCGGGAUUACAUAGAGAUAUCAACCCACCGCGCAAUUUUCUACCAUCUAGAAGACUCUAGAAGCCACGGGAAGGAAGCGGAGCCCGAAAGGGGCCAGGCCCAGGGCGCCCGCCCUGAGGACCUGGGCGCCCACCCACCUCUGGACCCCGUUCCGGACUCUCUUCGCACACGACGUUCCACCGACCUAUUGGAUCCAGAAUAACAUAGUACCACCUCGCCUAUCAACCCAAAAACGCAUAGAAGGGGAGGACUAUAUAAGGAGACCCCCUCUGGCUCCUGGAGGAGACAAGAAAUUAUCAU